rnacentral:rRNA from 1 species
AGAAGACAAGGUUGAUAGGCCGGGAGUGUAAGUGCAGUAAUGUAUUGAGCGGACCGGUACUAAUCCGUCGAGGGCUUGAUUUA